GAUGAACGCUGGCGGCGUGCCUAACACAUGCAAGUCGAACGGAGAUUCCGGACGGAAGUUUUCGGAUGGAAGACUGUAAUUCUUAGUGGCGGACGGGUGAGUAACGCGUGGGCAACCUGCCCUAUACAGGGGGAUAGCAGCUGGAAACGGCUGGUAAGACCGCAUAAGUCGGCGAGACCGCAUGGUUUUGCCGGGAAAUGAGCAAUCAGGUAUAGGAUGGGCCCGCGUCCGAUUAGCCAGUUGGCAGGGUAAAAGCCUACCAAAGCAACGAUCGGUAGCCGGACUGAGAGGUCGGACGGCCACAUUGGGACUGAGACACGGCCCAAACUCCUACGGGAGGCAGCAGUGGGGGAUAUUGCACAAUGGAGGAAACUCUGAUGCAGCGACGCCGCGUGAGUGAAGAAGUAUUUCGGUAUGUAAAGCUCUAUCAGCAGGGAAGAUGAUGACGGUACCUGACUAAGAAGCCCCGGCUAACUACGU
rnacentral:rRNA from 1 species